rnacentral:lncRNA from 1 species
UGAAUUGAUGACUUCACAAGAAGAAGAAGAACUUGUUGUUUAAGGGAUUCGCACUGACCUUCCCUCUGUGGAUGGUAUGCCCGGGAGGUGACUAGGCAUUCCCACGUGCGGGUUCUCUGGUGCCCUCUCUCUUUACUACAUUCUCUGUGCUCACUCUGCUACUUAUCACCCGAUAGAGUGGCUUCGCUCCUCCCGAAGGCCUAAUCUUCUUAGUGAGAACACUUAGCUUGUCUGUGAGGUAAGAAAGAGUAGGAUUUCACCUUCUUC